rnacentral:rRNA from 1 species
UACGAACCGUGCGAACGUUGUUCGGAAUCACUGGGCUUAAAGGGCGCGUAGGCGGGCUGCCAAGUCCGGGGUGAAAUCUUUCGGCCCAACCGGAAAAGUGCCUUGGAUACUGGCGGCCUGGAGGGAGGCAGGGGCGGAUGGAACUUCCGGUGGAGCGGUGAAAUGCGUUGAUAUCAUUUGGAACGCCAAUGGUGAAAACAGGUAGCUGGGAGUGUGCUGACACUGAGACACGAAAGCCAGGGGAGCGAACGGG